CCCUUAGAUGUUCUGGGCUGCACGCGCGCUAAACUGAUGCGAUCAACAAGUUUUUCCUAUGUCGAUAGACACGGGUAAUCUUUUGAACUCGCAUCGUGAUGGGGAUAGAUUAUUGUAAUUAUUAAUCUUCAACGAGGAAUUCCUAGUAGGUGCAAAUCAUCAGUUUGCAUCGAUUACGUCCCUGCCCUUUGUACACACCGCCCGUCGCUGCUACCGAUUGGUUGAUCUGGUGAAUUAUUCGGACUGCCGGCUGAAGGGGUUUCCUCAUCUGCCAGCGGAAAGUCUUGUUAACCCUAUCAACUAGAGGAAGCAGAAGUCGUAACA
rnacentral:rRNA from 1 species